rnacentral:sRNA from 1 species
GGUUUUCAGCCAGUUACACAAGGUACGCUAGAGUUCCGACCUUUCGAAAGAAAGUGUUGAAUAACUAUAAUUUUUGGAAACUCCCGGGGAUAUCCGGAAGGGCAGA